rnacentral:rRNA from 1 species
UAGGGAAUCUUCGGCAAUGGACGAAAGUCUGACCGAGCAACGCCGCGUGAGUGAAGAAGGUUUUCGGAUCGUAAAACUCUGUUGUUAGAGAAGAACAAGGACGUUAGUAACUGAACGUCCCCUGACGGUAUCUAACCAGAAAGCCACGGCUAACUACGUGCCAGCAGCCGCGGUAAUACGUAGGUGGCAAGCGUUGUCCGGAUUUAUUGGGCGUAAAGCGAGCGCAGGCGGUUUCUUAAGUCUGAUGUGAAAGCCCCCGGCUCAACCGGGGAGGGUCAUUAGAAACUGGGAGACUUGAGUGCAGAAGAGGAGAGUGGAAUUCCAUGUGGAGCGGUGAAAUGCGUAGAUAUAUGGAGGAACACCAGUGGCGAAGGCGGCUCUCUGGUCUGUAACUGACGCUGAGGCUCGAAAGCGUGGGGAGCAAACAGG